rnacentral:lncRNA from 1 species
GAAAAUCAGCCCUGAGCUAACAUCUGCCGCCAGUCCUCCUCUUUUUGCUGAGGAAGCCUGGCCCUGAGCUAACGUCUGUGCCCAUCUUCCUCUACUUUAUAUGUGGGACAGCUGCCACAGCAUGGCUUGCCAAGCGGUGACAUGUCCGCACCAGGGAUACGAACGGGCGAACCCUGGGCUGCCAAAGCGGAAUGUGAGAAUUUAACUGCUGCGCCACUGGGCUGGCCCCUUGUUCUCCGUUCCCUUUGCAGGUAAAGAAGCCACUUACGAUAUGAGAAAGCUGAGUUCUAUUGGCUUACUGCCACAUGGCAGACACUGCCCAGCCCCCCAGUACAUACUUGCACAUUCCUCGUUGUGGGUCCUUCCAGCUGUGGCACGUGGGACGCCGCCCCAGCGUGGUUUGACGAGCAGUGCCAUGUCUGCGCCCAGGAUUCGAACCAACGAAACACUGGGCCGCCUGCAGCGGAGCGCGCGAACUCAACCACUCGGCCACGGGGCCAGCCCCUUUACCUGCAUUUUAUCUUGUGGUCUCCACUCUCAAACUUACCCUUUUGUGAAGCUAGACACAGAAAGAUACUACAUACAGAGCCCGCAGUAAAUGGAUGUCUCUACUGAAAUGACUUUAACUUUGGCAUAAGAAUAUCCAUAAGAAUAUCAAACUAUAUUGAAAAACGUG